UACGAAGGGGGCUAGCGUUGCUCGGAAUCACUGGGCGUAAAGGGUGCGUAGGCGGGUCUUUAAGUCAGGGGUGAAAUCCUGGAGCUCAACUCCAGAACUGCCUUUGAUACUGAGGAUCUUGAGUUCGGGAGAGGUGAGUGGAACUGCGAGUGUAGAGGUGAAAAUUCGUAGAUAUUUCGCAAAGAACACCAGUGGCGAAGGCGGCUCACUGGCCCGAUACUGAUGCUGAG
rnacentral:rRNA from 1 species